rnacentral:rRNA from 1 species
GACGAACGCUGGCGGCGUGCUUAACACAUGCAAGUCGAACGGAAAGGCCCUGCUUGCAGGGUGCUCGAGUGGCGAACGGGUGAGUAACACGUGGGUGAUCUGCCCCUUACUUUGGGAUAAGCCUGGGAAACUGGGUCUAAUACUGGAUAGGACCAUGCUGUAGGUGGUGUGGUGGAAAGAUUAGUUUCGGUAAGGGAUGAGCUCGCGGCCUAUCAGCUUGUUGGUGGGGUAAUGGCCUACCAAGGCGUCGACGGGUAGCCGGCCUGAGAGGGUGGACGGCCACGUUGGGACUGAGAUACGGCCCAGCCUCCUACGGGAGGCAGCAGUGGGGAAUAGUGCACAAUGGGCGCAAGCCUGAUGCAGCGACGCCGCGUGGGGGAUGACGGCCUUCGGGUUGUAAACUCCUUUCGGCCAUGACGAAGCGCUUGUGGUGACGGUAGUGGUAGAAGAAGCACCGGCUAACUACGUG